rnacentral:rRNA from 1 species
AUUGAACGCUGGCGGCAGGCUUAACACAUGCAAGUCGAGCGGGGAAGGGUAGCUUGCUACCUAACCUAGCGGCGGACGGGUGAGUAAUGCUUAGGAAUCUGCCUAUUAGUGGGGGACAACAUUCCGAAAGGAAUGCUAAUACCGCAUACGCCCUACGGGGGAAAGCAGGGGAUCUUCGGACCUUGCGCUAAUAGAUGAGCCUAAGACAGAUUAGCUAGUUGGUGGGGUAAAGGCCUACCAAGGCGACGAUCUGUAGCGGGUCUGAGAGGAUGAUCCGCCACACUGGGACUGAGACACGGCCCAGACUCCUACGGGAGGCAGCAGUGGGGAAUAUUGGACAAUGGGCGCAAGCCUGAUCCAGCCAUGCCGCGUGUGUGAAGAAGGCCUUUUGGUUGUAAAGCACUUUAAGCGAGGAGGAGGCUACUUGGAUUAAUACUCUAGGAUAGUGGACGUUACUCGCAGAAUAAGCACCGGCUAACUCUGUGCCAGCCGCCGCCGUAACAC